rnacentral:rRNA from 1 species
GACGAACGCUGGCGGCGUGCCUAAUACAUGCAAGUCGAGCGAAAAGACGAGGAGCUUGCUCCUCUGACGUUAGCGGAGGACGGGUGAGUAACACGUGGAUAAUCUACCUAUAAUACUGGGAUAACUUCGGGAAACCGGCGCUAAUACCGGAUAAUAUAUUGAAGCGCAGGGUGCAAUGGUGAAAGACGGCUUUGGUGUCACUUAUAGCUGCAUCUGCGCCGCAUUAGCUAGUUGGUAAGGUAAAGGCUUACCAAGGGAACGAUGCGUAGCCGACCUGCGAGAGUGGUAGCCGACCCUGGAGGUGGGACGCGGACAUGGCUCCUGCGAGACGCAGCAGUAUGGUAUCGUCCGCAGUAGUCGGAAGCCUUACGCAGCGGCGCGACGUGAGAUACAAAGGUGUUCGGAUCGUAAAACUCUGUUAUUGGGUAUGAACAAAUUUGUAAGUAACUAUGCACGUCUUGACGGUACUUAAUCAGAAAGCCACGGCUAACUACGUG